CGCGUAGGUGGUUCGAUAAGCGAGAUGUGAAAGCCCCGGGCUUAACCUGGGAACGGCAUUUCGAACUGUCGGGCUAGAGUAUGGUAGAGGGUAGUGGAAUUUCCUGUGUAGCGGUGAAAUGCGUAGAUAUAGGAAGGAACACCAGUGGCGAAGGCGGCUACCUGGACCAAUACUGACACUGAGGUGCGAAAGCGUGGGGAGCAAACA
rnacentral:rRNA from 1 species